rnacentral:misc_RNA from 1 species
AAAGUCGUAACAAGGUUUCCGUAGGUGAACCUGCGGAAGGAUCAUUACCGAGUAACGGGUCUCCGGGCCCACGCUCCCACCCUUUGUGUACCUACCGAUUUUUCGUUGCCUCGGCGGGGUCGAUCCCCAGGGCCUGCGCCCUGUGGGGGACCCGCCGGGGGGACACGCCAAAACUCCUGUCAACGGUGACGUCUGAGAAAAAACAAACUAGUCAAAACUUUCAACAACGGAUCUCUUGGUUCUG